GUUGGCCGAUGAGUGGGGAGCCGAUAAGUCAAUGAUGAGUCUCUGUUUUUGGGAAGAUUUCCCUGUGACAAUACCAAUAGGGUUGGUGCACCAUUCUGUGAAUGGAGGAGUUCUAAAAGGCCCCAAUACAAAGCCCUCAUCCACUUCUUGGGCUAUGAGGGUGUCAAACACUGUGGGGUUGUGUUGGGCGGAUUGUAGGUUAGGGCUUUCCAGAGUUCCAGCUGGUAUGUGUAGGAUACCUGUGUGGAAGCC